GGCCCUGGGACAAUGGUAAGUAAUGUAUGUUAUGACAGGAAGACCAGGACCCCAUGCUACGGCCUGGCACAGAGUUAGCUUGGACUAAUUGGUGACAAGUUCACCCAACCUUUAUGUGAAUUAUCUGUGUUAUGAUGCAUUUCAUUGGAGCAUAGUGUUAAUAUGUUUUAUAGUUCUGCUCACUGGGCUUUUAGCUCACCCCUCUCCCUUUACCCCCAGGCUUGCAGGUACAGGAUAGAAGAGGAGGUCGGUUAGAGUAAAGCUUGUUUAUGUAAUAGAUAGAAUGUGGACAUGACAAAUCGUAGAACGAUGUAAUGUAAAAGUAC
rnacentral:lncRNA from 1 species